ensembl:lncRNA
CUUUUUUUCUUUUUUUGUCUUUUUUUUUUUUGCCUUUUCUAGGGACGCUCCCGUGGCAUAUGGAGGUUUCCAGGCUAGGGGUGUAUUGGAGCUGUAGCCGCCAGCCUACACCACAGCCACAGCAACUCGGGAUCCAAGCGUGUCUGCAACCUACACCACAGCUCAUGGCAACGCCGGAUCCUUAACCCACUAAGCAAGGCCAGGGAUCGAACCUGCAACCUCAUGGUUCCCAGUCAGAUUCGUAAACCACUGAGCCACGACAGGAAGUCCAACCCCUACCUUCUUGAAUGCCCGAAAGCAGCGGAGGUAAGGUUGAACAAAAAUAAGUGCAUUUACUGAUUUGAACAAAUAUUACUCAAAUGUUCCACAAGAAUAAGAAACCAGAUGAACAUCUGCACUCAGAGGGAAGUUGAGGAUCCCGUGAGGAAAAUACAAAUGUUAGGCAAGUAAUGAUUUUUUUGAAAAUAAGGUAGAAAAUCAGGUACUAUCAAUUAUGCAUGGCUAUCACUGGAGGAACACAGUGGAGGGUGCAGCUACUUUGGUUGGGGAAAUAGCAGAAAUGGUCACCAAAUAUCUGGAAUCUAAACUAAGUUUUGAAGAACUGGUUAUAAGUUGGAGUCAUGCAUAUACAAGAAACCUAGGCAAAAGGUUCAGUAUGAGCAAAGGCACAGAGGCAGGAGAGCAAAGGACUUCUCUAGGAAUAAAGACUGGAUGGAUAUGACUUGCUAGUGCCCAAGAAGCAAGAGAAAGUACAGUGGGAUAAAGACCUCAAACUCCAGAGAAAAGAACCCUGCACACCUACUGAAAAAUCAAACACAAUUCACUAUCUGGUUUGUAAUCCUCAUGUUUCCUAGUUUGAGUCCCUCUCCCCUACUUAGUAAGACUUUCAAAGUUAUACACAAGAGGAAAAGGGAAUUCAAACACCAAUUGGUUUUAUACAUUGUGCACGGAAAUGAAUUCCAUUUAUUGAUGUAGUUGAGAAAGGAGCAAACUUUAUUUUUUUCUAAAGGAGUAGUUUCAUUUCCUAUUAAUGCUGAACUAUAUCUGGCUAUUCAUCCCCAGCUUGCAGGAUGUGGAGAAUAGGAAAUAUGAGUAAUGAUAAAAAAAAAGUGUCUUGCAUACAAAGUUUUUAAAAUAAAAAAAAAAAUUAACAACUUCCUCAGAGAUGCCAGUGUCUUCCACUGACCAGUCCUCCUUUCACUGGGUCCCUGUGCAAAUGUUCUACUGCCCCCUGCUGUUUUAAGUUUCAGAAGCUUUAAAAAAAAAAAUCUUUUGACCAUUCUUCACUGAUGUAACUGAUUCCACCAUUUUUCUUUUCUUCCAGGAUGACCAAAAGGCCUAGGGUUUAUUCCUUGGCCCAAUGAAAUUUUGAUAGCAAUGAAGACAUAAGAAUUACGCAAAACUCUGUAGGAGUAAAUCACAGCUUUGAAAAUCUACACCGUUAGGCAAUCCUAUUGGCUAUCAUAGCUUAAGAUUUCCGAGCUGUACAUGUUCCCUAGGAAGUAGUAACCAAUCCCUUAAAGGUAUCAUUUCCCUCUCAUUCAGAUGGAAACCCAAACUUUCUAACCCAAGUAUACAAGCUACCUGUAUAAUUAGAGGCUUCCCAUGCAUGGUAUUCUGUAUAUGAUAGAUUAAAUGCAAUAUAAAGGAUAAGCCUGGCUUAUCCUGUGUUACUAAAAUUUGUUCAUUAACUUCAGGUGUUUUUUUAACAUAUGGUAUAGACUUUAAAUUUUUUCUCAUGGGUUUUGAUCUAAGCAGUUCCAGUUGAAUAAUUAUUGUGUUUUCCUUUGGACAUGUGUGUGUUUAUACCUCCCGUUACCAUUCAGUAUGUUAGGUCACAGGUUCUAUGAUAACCAAAAAGCAAAAAAUAAAAAAGAAAGCCACUGCAGCUCCCUCUGUGGCACAAUAGGAUCCAUGGCGUCUUGGGAGUACUGGGACACAGGUUUGAUUCCCAGUCCGGCACAGUGCAUGAGGAUCCAGCAUUGCUGCAGCUGUCUUAGGUCACAACUGCAGCUCAGAUACGAUCCCUAGACCAGGAACUCCCCAUGUUGCAGAGCAGCCAAAAAAAAAGAAAGAAAAAAAAAAUAGCAAAAUAAAGAAAGCCAUCUGGAAAGUUCUCCACCUAACAGUGAUCAAAUGUCCCGUCAUUAACCUGAAGUAUGGUUUUCUCUUAACACUGAAUUCAGCAAACCCUUUCAAGUAACUUUUAUGAACUAAAAUGCAGGAAAAAUAUUUAUUCCUCUUUUCAGGUGUUCAGUUUCAUGCACUAGCGAGGGACUACUCCCCUUGCAUUUCCUAUCUUUGCUAAAUGAAGGUAUCAUAGUCCACUAACUAACUCAGCCCAGAUAUAUGAAGGCUAUUCUUGAUUCCUGUUGGAACUACACUCUGCUAUGUUACAAAGCACUCUCACACUUUGUGACCUAAAAUGACAAUCACUAUCUGAAAAUUCUGUGGUUUGAGUGGGAAGUUUUUAUCCUUCACACGUAAAUAAAGCUGGGCUGCUGAGCUGGCUAGAGGUUAUGAAAUGACCUAACAUUCGGGAUUGGCUGGGAGCAAAGAUAGGACUGUUGGCUGCUGAUCUUGGAUUCACUCCACACAGUCUCUACGGCACUUCCUGGGCUUCCGCAUGGCCCGGAAGCGGUUCCAAGAAGGUACACUCUAACUGCAAACACUCCAGGAGGAUGAUCACCAAUAUGCCAACAUUUAUCAAACCUCUGCUUGCAUCUCACUUACCAAUGUCUCAUUAACUAGUAUCAGCCACAAGGCCAAAUGGAGAUUUAACCAAAGGGGCUACACACCGGCCCAUGAACAGUCUGCCUCAAUCCUCCUUCCUUCACAAGCAAGUUCCUUUGAGUUCUCCUUUGAAAUAUUCCCCAAAUACACUUAUAUUACUCAUUUCAAUCAUUAGUUCUCUUUCACUUUAUUUUCUUUCUUUUUGGGUAAAUACCUGGCUGGUUUUUAAUUAAGGGGGAGGGGAGGAAGAGUGGCAUUUACUCAAUGGAUAAACAUGUCUUGAGAAGUCCUGAGGAAUACACUGCAGUUAGAACUGAGUGUGACACAUGGCUGAACAAGAUACUUCCUCUGCCCUGAGAGCUCAAAUACUGCAGGGAAAAAUAAAGAAAAAUAUGUCCCAAGUGCCACAGACCUACCCUCCUAAUUCUAAUUCUUUUUCUAGCUUACAGAUUUCAACAUGUCACAACUCUGCUUAAACAUGUUCAGUGUUUGCCCCUGAGCACCAGAUGAGAUUCAAAUUCUGCAGCCCUUCCUUUAAGGUAACUCAAGCCAGACUUGCCAGGUUCAUGGUCCACUUCCUCUUAAUUUACCUCUCAUUCUCUUUUGUGGCUCUGUGUCUUUAUCCCCGCCCUUACCAUCUAGCCAGUGUUCUUUCCCAGCCCUCAGCUCCAGGGAUGUGUAAUUUUCUUUUCAGAGUCACAUUCAACUACUUUCCUACAAGGUCUCCCUAAAGACGGAAAGAAGGAAUCACACACAUACGCUUCUACAGACUGCAAUCAUCCCACUGUGGUUUGUGUGGUUGUCCUUUCAAUGGAUGGUAGGCUCCCUGUGGGCACCAUGUUUAUGGUUACGCAAUCUGGCAUUUGCCAGUCCUAAUACAGCUUGGUACCUAGGAGGAAAGAGAGGAAGAGGCCUCUCAUACAAUUUUUUUCAUUUCUAUGAAACAGGCUGUCUUUUGUGUACUGUCUUCGAAAGAAAAAUAUCACAGUUGUAAUUACAUAUUGAAUUUCAGACAUCAGAGCUUCUCCAAGAUAAAAUAUGCUCUAGUGAGAAAUGGGGGCUUAUAAAGAAACUUUUCCCCUAUGAAAAAUAAAGAAAUAAAUGAAAUGAAUAUAAAGAGCCACUACUCUUUAGUUCAAUUCUUGUUUCAAUGCCUUAGAAUAAACAAGAUGCCUGCUUUCCAAGGAUGCUGGUAAGAGGUAGGGUGUACAGACCACCCAAGUCUUCGAAUGAAAUCCUGCAUCUUUAUGAAUCUGAUCUAAAUAGUGAAGCUGUAUUAAAAGUAAAUCUUGCACAGUAUAAAACUAAAGUAUUCCAUAUAACAGUACUUCCAUUUAAAAUUUAUCAUGAGGAUAUAUCCACUGAAUUUUUUGCAAGUAUAAUAUUUGAACUCAUGACAAAAUAUGCUUCAUAUUAAACUUUAAUCAUAAUGUAGUUAUAAGAUUUCAGUGAGUGGGUGGAUUUUUAACAUAAUCAAAUAGACGAUGACAGAAUGUGGAGUUCCCAUUGUGGCUCAGUGGUUACGAAUCUGACUAGCAUCCAUGAGGACGCAGGUUCAAUCCCUGGCCUUGCUCAGUGGGUUAAGGAUCUGGCGUUGCCGUGAGCUGUGGUGUGGGUCGCAGACCUGGCUCAGAUCCUGCGUUGCUGCAGCUGUGGCACAGGCCAGCAGCUACAGCUCCGAUUUGACCCCUAGCCUGGGAACCUCCAUAUGCCCCAGGUGUGGCCCUAAAAAGCAAAAAAAAAAAAAACAAAACAAAAAA